CCUACGGGUGGCUGCAGUCGAGAAUCAUUCACAAUGGGGGAAACCCUGAUGGUGCGACGCCGCGUGGGGGAAUGAAGGUCUUCGGAUUGUAAACCCCUGUCAUGUGGGAGCAAAUUAAAAAGAUAGUACCACAAGAGGAAGAGACUGCUAACUCUGUGCCAGCAGCCGCGGUAAUACAGAGGUCUCAAGCGUUGUUCGGAAUCACUGGACGUAAGGCGUGCGUAGGCUGUUUCGUAAGUCGUGUGUGAAAGGCGCGGGCUCAACCCGCGGACGGCACAUGAUACUGCGAGACUAGAGUAAUGGAGGGGGAACCGGAAUUCUCGGUGUAGCAGUGAAAUGCGUAGAUAUCGAGAGGAACACUCGUGGCGAAGGCGGGUUCCUGGACAUUAACUGACGCUGAGGCACGAAGGCCAGGGGAGCGAAAGGGAUUAGAUACCCGAGUAGUC
rnacentral:rRNA from 1 species